CAUACGGCAUUUAAAAAAAAAGACACGGCCUGUGUCAUUGUAAAAGUGGCAGGAAGCUCUUUCCACGCCAUUUGUCCGGAUCCCCAACACCAUCUCUCAUUUUCUCUUUAAUUUUUCAUAGAAAAAUCGUGAUCUACGAAGAUGUAACCGGCCAAACUCAAAUCCGACUUCGGUAACGUGAUCUACGAAGCCCGAUCUACGUUUUCACCGAUCGUUUUGAGGUAAUGGGUUGCUUGGAACUUGCUUGAGGAUGCCCAAACCAUGGGUUUUGGUUUGGUGAAAUUUUGUGAUACAUUGUAAGGUGGUGUCUAGGAGACCCAGUGAUUAAAUCUGCGCAGCCAAGACGUUUAUACUUUGGUUGCAGGUUUUGCGGAUAUAGAUAUUGACUCGUCCACCUAGCAUAUGGGAUGCUAUGAUUGGAGCACAUCGCGACAGUCAUAAGUCACAGAUUCAUGGGUAGUCCGCAUUUGGGUAUUUUAUUUAUGGCUCGUGUCAUACGUGGCAUAUGUAUUUGUUGAGCCUGUAUUUUAGUAUAUAUAGUCAAUGUAAUAUGUUUUAUAAGCCUUAAAUAGAUAGACUUGUAAAUGGCUCUUCUUGUAAUUAACUUUUAUGUGUUAGAUGUAUUUCCACUUAUGAUA